rnacentral:rRNA from 1 species
UACAGAGGUCUCAAGCGUUGUUCGGAUUCAUUGGGCGUAAAGGGUGCGCAGGCGGCCAAGUGUGUGAGGCGUGAAAGCCUGGAGCUUAACUCCAGAAUUGCACCUCAAACUACAUGGCUAGAGCAUUGGAGAGGGUAGCGGAAUUCACGGUGUAGCAGUGAAAUGCGUAGAUAUCGUGAGGAACACCAGAGGCGAAGGCGGCUACCUGGACAAUUGCUGACGCUCAGGCACGAAAGCGUGGGGAGCAAAAGGG